GGCGGGGAAACAGGACUUUUACUGUGAAAAAAUUAGAGUGCUCCAGGCAGGCCUAUGCUCGAAUACAUUAGCAUGGAAUAAUAGAAAUAGGACGUGUGGUUCUAUUUUGUUGGUUUCUAGGACCGCCGUAAUGAUUAAUAGGGACAGUCGGGGGCAUCAGUAUUCAAUUGUCAGAGGUGAAAUUCUUGGAUUUAUUGAAGACUAACUACUGCGAAAGCAUUUGCCAAGGAUGUUUUCAUUAAUCAGGAACGAAAGUUAGGGGAUCGAAGACGAUCAGAUACCGUCGUAGUCUUAACCAUAAACUAUGCCGACUAGGGAGUCGGACGGUGUUAUUUUUUGACCCGUUCGGCACCUUACGAGAAAUCAAAGUGCUUGGGCUCCAGGGGGAGUAUGGUCGCAAGGCUGAAACUUAAAGAAAUUGACGGAAGGGCACCACCAGGGGUGGAGCCUGCGGCUUAAUUUGACUCAACACGGGGAAACUCACCAGGUCCAGACACAAUGAGGAUUGACAGAUUGAGAGCUCUUUCUUGAU
rnacentral:rRNA from 1 species